UUUUCUCUUCCUCCUUGCCUCCCUUUCCAAUUCCAACAUGAUCUUUUGUUUGUUUAUUAUAUCAUACUACUCAUUCUAUGUAAAGCAUUAUCUUUUUCCUGCCCGCCUCAACUGUCAUAAUCUUAGUUUUGCCUUUUUCCUGUUCCCUCCAAUUUCCUUUUAUCUCUCUUUCCUACUUUCUCCGCAUUUGUCCUUCUCUCUUUGAACGUGAACAGAUGAGCUUUAUGCCCAGAAGCUCAAGUACAAGGCCAUUAGUGAAGAGUUGGAUCAUGCCCUCAACGACAUGACCUCUAUAUAAAGAGUUUCUGGACUUUUCUCUGGCUGACUGUGACGUCAAGAUGUUCUCCUUCGUCCUCUCCAUCUUCUGUCCAUAUUUGUCGCUCAUUUCUUCUCUGAUCUUCUGCGUACUUCCCUUUUCACGGGUGUUCCACGUGCCUGUUUCUGUAACGUCUUCUUUAUUUAAGCAUCUAUUUGUGUUUCUGUUUUCUCUGAAUGCAUGUUAGUUCUUUAGAUAGUCCGUAUCAGGUCCAGGCUUCCCUUUCCCCCGAUUUGUCUCUUCAAAGAAUGUUCUCGUUGUUUUGUCCUUUUUUGCUUCUCUUUGACCUCUGCUGUAUUUUUGAUGCCUUUUGUCUGUUUAUUGAAGAGAAGAAAAAAGCUCUGGUCUCUUUUGAA